CCUCCGGUAGCUCAACUGGUAAAUAGUGUUUGGAACAUGUUCAAGUUAGACAUAGAUAGUCACCUGUGCACCCAUAUCACGCUGGUUCAAGUCCAGCUCGGAGGG
rnacentral:tRNA from 1 species